UACGGGGGGAGCAAGCGUUGUUCGGAUUUACUGGGCGUAAAGGGCGCGUAGGCGGCCACCGCAAGUCGACUGUGAAAUCUCCGGGCUUAACCCGGAAAGGUCAGCCGAUACUGCGGGGCUAGAGUGCAGAAGGGGCAACUGGAAUUCUCGGUGUAGCGGUGAAAUGCGUAGAUAUCGAGAGGAACACCUGCGGCGAAGGCGGGUUGCUGGGGCUGACACUGACGCUGAGGCGCGAAAGCUAGGGGGAGCGAACGGG
rnacentral:rRNA from 1 species